rfam:Schistosoma curassoni strain Dakar, Senegal genome assembly, scaffold: SCTD_scaffold0013885
AUAGAGCUGUCGAGUCCCAAAUAGGACGAAAUGUGCGUCCUGAAU